rnacentral:siRNA from 1 species
CGUCACACCAUUUCCCAGCCUG